CAGCCGCCGCGGUAAUACCAACCCCGCGAGUGGUCGGGACGUUUAUUGGGCCUAAAGCGUCCGUAGCCGGCCCGGUAAGUCCCUCCUUAAAGCCCACGGCUCAACCGUGGGAGCGGAGGGAUACUGCCGGGCUAGGGGGCGGGAGAGGCCGGGGGUACUCCUGGGGUAGGGGCGAAAUCCUAUAAUCCCAGGAGGACCACCAGUGGCGAAGGCGCCCGGCUAGCACGCGCCCGACGGUGAGGGACGAAAGCUGGGGGAGCGAACCGGAUUAGAUACCCGGGUAGUCCCGGCUGUAAACGAUGCGGGCUAGCUGUGGGGUGGGCUUAGAGCCCACCCAGUGGCGCAGGGAAGCCGUUAAGCCCGCCGCCUGGGGAGUACGGCCGCAAGGCUGAAACUUAAAGGAAUUGGCGGG
rnacentral:rRNA from 1 species